AGGUAAGCUACUAAGAGCGAAUGGUGGAUGCCUUGACUGGUAAAGGCGAUGAAGGACGUACUAGACUGCGAUAAGCUACGGGGAGCUGUCAAGAAGCUUUGAUCCGUAGAUUUCCGAAUGGGGCAACCCAAUGUAUAGAGAUAUACAUUACCUAUAUAGGAGCGAACGAGGGGAAUUGAAACAUCUUAGUACCCUCAGGAAAAGAAAUCAAUAGAGAUUGCGUCAGUAGCGGCGAGCGAAAGCGCAAGAGGGCAAACCCAGUGCUUGCACUGGGGGUUGUAGGACUGCAAUGUGCAAGAGGUGAGUUUAGCAGAACAUUCUGGAAAGUAUAGCCAUAGAGGGUGAUAGUCCCGUAUGCGAAAAACAAACCUUAGCUAGCAGUAUCCUGAGUAGGGCGGGACACGAGAAAUCCUGUCUGAAGCUGGGUCGACCACGAUCCAACCCUAAAUACUAAUACCAGAUCGAUAGUGCACAAGUACCGUGAGGGAAAGGUGAAAAGAACUGAGGUGAUCAGAGUGAAAUAGAACCUGAAACCAUUUGCUUACAAUCAUUCAGAGCCCUAUGUAGCAAUACAGGGUGAUGGACUGCCUUUUGCAUAAUGAGCCUGCGAGUUGUGGUGUCUGGCAAGGUUAAGCAAACGCGAAGCCGUAGCGAAAGCGAGUCUGAAUAGGGCGCUUAGUCAGAUGCUGCAGACCCGAAACGAAGUGAUCUAUCCAUGAGCAAGUUGAAGCUAGUGUAAGAACUAGUGGAGGACUGAACCCAUAGGCGUUGAAAAGCCCCGGGAUGACUUGUGGAUAGGGGUGAAAGGCCAAUCAAACUUCGUGAUAGCUGGUUCUCUCCGAAAUAUAUUUAGGUAUAGCGUUGUGUCGUAAUAUAAGGGGGUAGAGCACUGAAUGGGCUAGGGCAUACACCAAUGUACCAAACCCUAUCAAACUCCGAAUACCUUAUAUGUAAUCACAGCAGUCAGGCGGCGAGUGAUAAAAUCCGUCGUCAAGAGGGAAACAACCCAGACUACCAGCUAAGGUCCCUAAAUCUUACUUAAGUGGAAAACGAUGUGAAGUUACUUAAACAACCAGGAGGUUGGCUUAGAAGCAGCCAUCCUUUAAAGAAAGCGUAAUAGCUCACUGGUCUAGUGAUUUUGCGCGGAAAAUAUAACGGGGCUAAAGUAAGUACCGAAGCUGUAGACUUAGUUUACUAAGUGGUAGGAGAGCGUUCUAUUUGCGUCGAAGGUAUACCGGUAAGGAGUGCUGGAGCGAAUAGAAGUGAGCAUGCAGGCAUGAGUAGCGAUAAUUAAUGUGAGAAUCAUUAACGCCGUAAACCCAAGGUUUCCUACGCGAUGCUCGUCAUCGUAGGGUUAGUCGGGUCCUAAGUCGAGUCCGAAAGGGGUAGACGAUGGCAAAUUGGUUAAUAUUCCAAUACCAACAUUAGUGUGCGAUGGAAGGACGCUUAGGGCUAAGGGGGCUAGCGGAUGGAAGUGCUAGUCUAAGGUCGUAGGAGGUUAUACAGGCAAAUCCGUAUAACAAUACUCCGAGAACUGAAAGGCUUUUUGAAGUCUUCGGAUGGAUAGAAGAACCCCUGAUGCCAUCGAGCCAAGAAAAGUUUCUAAGUUUAGCUAAUGUUGCCCGUACCGUAAACCGACACAGGUGGGUGGGAUGAGUAUUCUAAGGCGCGUGGAAGAACUCUCUUUAAGGAACUCUGCAAAAUAGCACCGUAUCUUCGGUAUAAGGUGUGGUUCGCUUCGUAUUAGGAUUUACUCCGAAAGCGAAGAAACUUACAACAAAGAGUCCCUCCCGACUGUUUACCAAAAACACAGCACUCUGCUAACUCGUAAGAGGAUGUAUAGGGUGUGACGCCUGCCCGGUGCUCGAAGGUUAAUUGAUGGGGUUAGCAUUAGCGAAGCUCUUGAUCGAAGCCCGAGUAAACGGCGGCCGUAACUAUAACGGUCCUAAGGUAGCGAAAUUCCUUGUCGGUUAAAUACCGACCUGCAUGAAUGGCGUAACGAGAUGGGAGCUGUCUCAAAGAGGGAUCCAGUGAAAUUGUAGUGGAGGUGAAAAUUCC
rnacentral:rRNA from 1 species